rnacentral:lncRNA from 1 species
UGAUGGAGAGCUCUGAUGAGCUGCUUUGAGGCUUUAUUGAUUUGUCAGCUUGUGAUGGCAGUGCAGCGCAGCGCAGCACGAGUCGGCAGCUCAGCAUCAUGUCCUGGCAUGGCAGAACCAGCCCACAGAGCUGGUGCCACACCACAAAGCGUGGGCAGCGUAGCACAGGGCAGACCCGGCACGGGCACAGCACCAGCAUGGGCACAGCACCAGCAUGGGUACAGCACUGGCACAGCACCAGCAUGGGCACAACACCAGCAAGGGUACAGCACUAGCAUGGGCACAGCACUGGCACAGCACCAGCAUGGGCACAGCACUGGCACAGCCACAGCACUGGCACGGGCACGACACCAGCACGGGCACAACACCCGCAGGGGUACAGCACUGGCAUGGGCACAGCACCGGCAUGGCCACAGCACCAGCACAGGACAGCACCAGCACAGGUGCAGCACUGGCACGGGCACAGCACCGGCAUGGCCACAGCACCGGCACAGGUACAGCACCCACAGGAAACCAGGAUAGAGCUGGUUUCACACAGCACAGCGUGAGCAGCAUGGAGCAAUGGAGCAGCACUGCAUGGCUUUUGCAACACAAAUCAACAACUGAACCCCGUGUGUGCAGCACCUGAGGUGGUUGCCCUUUUCUCCAGGCCAAUGACUGAAGUUCCAACCACCACAGGAGAAACAGGGAAGGAAGAGCCAUCAGGGGUUUUCCCCUUAAGGUGCCAUGUGAUUUUGGAAGGCCAUAAGACAAACUGGGGAAUGACAGUGGUUCUAUUCAGCACCAGUGAGGCCUCUGCUGAUCCAACCAGUGGGUCUGGAUUUCUGGACCACCUUCUCAUGCCAGCUCAAGUCCAGCUCACAAAGUCCUCUCUUUGGCUUACACCAAGGUCUGCAAUUCUAGUGACAAGGCAUCACAGUGCUGGGGAAGCCUGAAUAAACUGGGAGAAGCUGGGUAUAAAGAAUGGAAUGCGGCAGAUGGGAAACUGCACCUGAGCUUUCCAAGUCUGUCCCUCUCCUCCCUUUUCCAAGUACUCCCAGCCAGCAA